CUUAUCGGCAGCCAGUGGACACCAAUGAGUCAGUUAAUAUAACUAUUUAAUUAAAUAUGAAAUUAAUAAUUUAUUUUAGUGCCAUAUUUUCUAUAUUUUUAUUUAGCUAUACGGAAACUGAAGUAUCAGCUCAAGGAAUCUACCCAUAUUAUGGCGGUGGUCCUCUCACAAUCUCCGACAACAACAAUGAUGACGACUUCGGCCUCCUUCUCACUGUCCUACUCCUAGCAACCAGGAAUAACAACGGUGGUUGCUGCGGUUGCUGCAACUGCGGGGGUCAAAACAUACCCAUACCGUACCCAAUACCCAUACCUACGAACAACCCUAUAAUUACUACAUCAGGAAGAAAUAAUAACGAUGGAGAUUGCAAUGGUGGAAAUGGAGAUACAGUGAAUGUUAUCACGGAGAAUGAAUCGAAUGUCUCGACGGAAGCCGAGGCUAAUAAUGACUUGGAUAACGAAAAUAAUAAUGAGUCAUCAGCCCGAUCCAUGGCACAAAACAAUCCAGACCCAAUGGCGGCCCUACAAUAAGAAUAUCUAUUUAUUUCCUAACUUAAUGUUUAAUUUAUGACAACACUCUAAAAACGAUUAAUAAACAUGAUGAGAAAGCGGUA